rnacentral:lncRNA from 1 species
CUAGUGUAGAAUGCAUUAUUACAGGCAAAAAUAAAUUUUUGCAAUGUAAUUCUGAAGUACAAUACCUAAGGAUUAUUUUGGCUUCACAAUAACUAGGAAUAAGGGUGUGCUCAUUUUUUGGCUUCCCACUUUGCUGGUGCCCUGGUUUCUUCCGUGGACAAUUUGCCUGCUCUUUUGCAUGAUUUAAUUCUAGUAUCUCACUCACACGUACUUCUACAUCUGCAAACACACUUGGAGGAUUUAACACCAUGCUGCAGGAGUUUCCUUCUCUUGAAAGUCUGCUUCUCAGGCUCCAUGAGAUUUUCCAGGUUCUUCCCUGGACUGCCAAGUCCUACCUCUCACACACCCAAGUCCCCAGAACUCUGUCCACACAUCUUUCCUGUUAAUCCUCUUACCUGAAGAUGGAAAACCAUCUAAGUCAGGUUCUCUGCCACCAGCACAGUGACUGUGGGCUUUGACCAGUAAGUAAAUGAAAAGGAAAUAACGAAACUCGAGGGAGUGAGAGAAGGGAAGAUUCCAAACAUUUGGAAUGCAAAGUGUUUAUCUUCUCUGAUUCUUCUAAGACCAUUGUACUUAUCCUCAUUUUAUUUUAUGUCUUUCAUUUUUCUUCGGCAAACAAUGGCUGAAAGUUAACUGAAGAAAUCUUGUAAUCCCAACAUUUUGGGAGGCUGAGGCAGGUGGAUCAACUGAGGUCAGGAGUUCGAGACCAGCCUGACCAACAUGGUGAAACCUUGUCUCUACUACAAAUACAAAAAUCAGCCGGGUGUGGUCAUAUGCCCCUGUAAUCCCAGCUACUCAGGAGGCUGAGACAGGAGAAUCGCCUGAACCCGGGAGGUGGAGGUUGCAAUGAGCCAAGAUCACGCCACUGAACUCCAGCCUGGGUGACACAGUGAGAUUCCAUCUCAAAAAAAAAAAAAGAAAAAAAAAAGAAAUCUGUAAAUAAAAAACAUGCACAUAAGUAUCAAGAGCAUGCAACUGAGGCUCCAUCUCUAGAAUCUGAUGAUUCCUUUGAAAACUAUUCCUAGCAGAUGCUGUUUAGAUGCGGUGGCUCAGCCAGACCACGGCACUUAAAGCACCUCUGUUUGCGCAUGAAAUGUCCAUCCACAUGGAUCAGCAAGGCAUCUCUGCAGAAGAGAGGUGCAGGUUCACAGACCAGAUCAACGUAAACUGACAUGCAGGAAAACCGCAGUCAGAAGAAAAAUAAUGAAGCUGAAAUUUCAGGAAAAGAUUUCUUCACUAAGGAGCCCAUCAGAACAGAGCUGGGCCUUCACUAGUCUGGACGAUCAGCUGCUCAGAGCCUUGCAUACAGUGGGAGGCUGAGGAAUGUUCUUUCUAGAAGAAUAGGUGCUCCAGGCUGACUCCAUACCUCCCACUGAAUGACAAUUGUUCUAAAGGUAGACAUUCUUAUUUCAUCAUCAAGAAAAGCACUCUGUAGUGAACAAGGGCACUCACGCAAUUGGAUUCAUGGAGAGAUGUUUGUUUUUCUCCCACUUGUUUACUGUUGCUGGUGUUAGAUCAAGUCUGGCCUUUACUAUUCCAUUAAAAAAUGACCAUUUGUGAUUAGAUAUUUACAAAAAUAUAUUCAGAAUGAUAUAUUUCAGAUAUUACAUUUUUUCUAACAGUUCGUUUUAGUUUUGAAUAGAAGCCUUAAAAUACUUGGCCAGGUGCGGUGGCUCACGCCUGUAAUCCCAGCACUUUGGGAGGCCGAGGCAGGCGGAUCAUGAGGUCAGGAGAUCAAGACCAUCCUGGCUAACACGGUGAAACCCUGUCUCUACUAAAAAUACAAAAAAUUAGUCGAGCGUGAUGGCGAGUGCCUGCAGUCCCAGCUACUCGGGAGGCUGAGGCAGGAGAAUGGCAUGAACCCGGGAGGAGGAGGCUGCAGUGAGGCGAGAUCGCACCACAGCACUCCAGCCUGGGUGACACAGUGAGACUCCAUUUCAUAAAUAAAUAAAUAAAUAAAUAAUUGGAAAAGUAAGAGUUAAAAAUAAAUCAUGGAAAAUCAUAAAGUGAUUCAUUAUCUGAAAUACUUUCUGAGUACAAAGCACUUUGUUUCCUCUUCUUUGCUGAUACCUGCAUGUGAGCUAAAAUGUGAAGGAAGGCAUUUGUGAUCUGAUUUUGUGUCUACAAAUGUCUAUGCCUAACCUUGAGCUGCUGCCUUUGUUGGUGUGUGAAGUGAUGCAGCAGAGCAGGGGAUGGCAAACCUUCUGCAAAGGGCUAGAGUCAAUUUAUUGUACUUUGGGGGCCAAAUGUGUCUGCCACGACUCCUCAACCCCGCCAUUGUAGCCAAAAAGCAGCAAUGAACAAUAUGUAAAGAAAUGGGCAUGACUGUGUUCCAAUAAAACUUUACACAAACAGGCACCAGGUCAGACCUGCCUUGCAGACUACUGUUUACCAACCCUGUAGUAAACAAUACUCAAAGGUACUCUAGUUGAGAAUAAAAUUACAAUUAGCGAUAAUGGUACAGUACAGCUAGAACAUUAUUAUUUCUGACACAGCGUUAAAGUACCACGUGUAUAAAACGCUUCAACAUAAAUAUGGGCAGAUUAUAUUAAAAGGUUGUAUUGGCAAUCACCAUCCAAGUAGUGACCCCUGACCUGUGACUUCUCCUGUCAUCUACAAUCAUUUAAAAAGUUGUUGAACCACUGGGGUGAGAGUGGUAAGAUGUGAAAUCUUCUCUUUGUCACCCUAAUGAUGAAUGUCUACCUAAUCAGUUGGAACAGUGAUAUCAUACAUUUCUUUGAGUUGAUAAUAUGGCAAAAAAAAAAAUCAUGAGGCUGUCCAUGAAAAUCCCAUCUAUUUAGGAGAUACAGGCAAUAUAAAUGAGAAAAAAAAAGCUCAUAAUAAUAAUUACUAAACCUGAAAUUAAGGUAGAGGAAGGCACUUGCCCAUGAAGAUGUUUUAAGUCUGAAUGUCCAGAAACAAGAGUCAGCCAAGUCGAAAAUUUGAAGAAGUCUGACUGAGUCUUCUCUUUCCUAAUCCACUCACAGAAGUAGAGAAGUCUGUUAUUUCAGGCCUCAAGCUGACAGCUCCCGGGGCUUGCCCUUCCAUUCUGUCCUUUACACCACAUCUCAGAUAUCCCAAAACUGAAACUCGACUUGGUGUGUGCCCUGCCUGCCAGCCUUUUCUUCCUUAAAGGAGGGUAACAGUGGGCAAGAGGCAGCAGCCUCCAGUGGCAGCAUCACAACUGACCCCAGCCAAGAAGGACACCAUGACAUUCAUGCUUUUCUUGUGCCUUUCAGGGGAAUCCAUAAAUCAGACCCAUUCAUGGCCACCUGGGAAAACACCAGGAGCUGUUCACAAUCACAGCACAUGAACACAAUGCCAUCAGUCAACGUCUUCUCCUCAACUGUGAUCGAAAUUAAUUUAAAGAGAUUUAACUUUAAAAAGGAACAUUGAUGCGAUGUUCACAAAUCAAUGAGCUAAAUAUUAGUCCUCAUAAGUGUUAUAAAAUCAGUUAAUGAUCCUUUCUGCUGUAAGCACAAUUCUUAAUCAUUAGCGCCAUUACACAUAGCUUCUCUUGAAAUGCAUCACCCAAUACAUCAUGACACACAGCACUCAGUUUAUAAGCAAUCAUGUAAAAGAAUAAGGAGAUAUCAGUAUUUCAAAACUGCUGCAGGCUUCUGACUUCCUAGCAGGCAAUAGUCCCCUAGAAACUAUAGAUUAGUGAUGUUCAGCGGUUCUCAAACUUUAGCAUGCGUUAGAACCACCAGGAGGGCUUAUGAAAACAUGGAUUGCUGGGGCCCAGCCCAGGGUUUCAGAUUUAGCAGAUCUAUGGUAGGAUAAGAACUUGGAUUUCUUUAUAACCUCUCAGUGGUGCAGAUGCUACUGCUCCAGGGACCACACUAAAACCACUGUUGUAGAGAAGGGGCCUACACACUUUCUCUAGAGGGUCAAAUUAAUACUUCUGCUUUACAGCCCAUGCCACCUCUGUUGCAACUACUCAAUUCUGCUCUUGUAGCACAAAAGCGGCCACAGACAAUACUUAAGUGAGUGAUGUGGCUGUGUUCCAUUAGAACAUUAUUUACAAAAAUAGGCAGUGGACUGGACUUGUCCUUUAGCCACAGUUUACUGACACCUGCUAGAGAGAAUGAAGGACUGUCUUCAAAAGACUUGCCCCAUCUCUCUGGCAUGAAUAACCGAAAGGGAUAAAGUGUACGCAAGCCAGCCUCUCCCUACCCAAAAUUGCUUCCUGAAAGAUCUUGCCUGCACAUAACAUAAAGCAUGAAUGCCUUGGCACCUGACUUUCAUCUUUUAAAAUGUGUUCCAAGGAACUGUCCAGAAACAACACAUUAUAUUAAUAUCGGAAAGCUUUAGAAACUGGAUCAUCAUUCAGCAUUUCAGUCUGUUUUAGAGGAGAAUACCAGAAGCCUACCUCUGUUACUCGUCACCAUGUACUGUGUCGGCCUCCAUUGGACUAGAGUAUAAGCUCUGAGAGAGCUGAAACUUUAUCUUCACUUUCUAGAAAGGUGCCUGGCAAAAGGAAGGUGCUCAAAAAUAUUUUCUUGAAUAAAAGAAAGUCUAUGAAAUCAACAACUCCCUUCCCGGCCUUGAGAUUUCUAGAUUUACCUUCAGAGCCUAGUAGCCAACCAUGCCUCCCUCCUCUCCGUUACUACAGCGUUGGGACUGUAGGAACAGAAAAGAGACUCCAGGAGGGAGGCUCAGGGUCAGCAGAUGUCUACCAUGACCACCACACUUGGGCUGAUGAUAAGGACAGACUUCCUUUCAGUCUCUCAGCUCCUGUACUUUGCUGUUUGGACCCUCAAGGACCACUCAGCUCUCCAGACACCUAAGUGAAAGUUGGAAGUGGAAACAAACACCAGGGAACUGAGAUCAAACAAAGCAGAGAGCGUAGGGCUGUUGAUGGAAAGAGCUGGCUCCAUGGGACAGGCAGACUUUAGUAUCAGAAAGGCCAGCAAGGUAGGUGGGAGUUGGGGGGAAAGGAGGUGGAAAGCAAGACUUCCCGUUGUGUAAUGAAUUCAUUAGAACAGAAGCAAUGUAAGUGUCCAUCGACAGAUGAAUACAGAAAAUGUGACAUCUGUGCACAGUGGGAAACUACUCGGCCAAAUACUGCAAGACCCCACUUACAUGAGCAAGCCACAACAGUCAAACUCAUAGAAACAGAGUAAAAUGGUAGUGCCAAAGGCUGGGAGAGGGGAAGACAUAUCUCUUGGUGUAUCUUACAGUUUGCAAGAUGAAUACAUUCUAGAGAUCUGCUACACAGCGUCAUGCCUGUAGUUAGCAAUACAGUAUUACUCAAAGGUUUGUUAAGAGGGUAGAUGUCUCAUUAAGUGUUCUUACCAACAAUAAUAAACAAAAAGCCAUUAUUGCUUUUUGUUUAUGUGCAGUUUGCAAGUUAGAAAGGAGAAAAACUAGAACUGAGUUCUGAAAAUCUGAUUAGCAAGAGAAUUUAUGUAAGAUAUAAUCUGCGAUGAUGAACUAAAUUAGUACGAGGUCAUUUUGCAGCUUAAGUCUUUAACAAUAGGCACAAUUUAUGAACACUAUUCCCUACAAGGGAGAGGUUUAGGAGCAGAUGCAAUUAUGUUAAAUGUGUUUUACAACUUGGAGUUACACAAGGUAUGAGGUUAAGGGGUUACAUUCCUAAUGGGUAAAGAUAGGCUCUGGGGUAAAACACUGGAUAAUAGGAGUGCCCUCAUCUCUUGAAAUCAAAUUUCAGAAAAACGUGGCAGGAGGAUCAGUAACUUAUGAUAGAUAACAGAAUAUAGCCAAAUGUGAUAUGGUAUGAGGACAUCCAUCCUGGUUGUCAGUUGACAGGGCUGCUUGAUUAGCUCACUAAGUUGUAAAUGUUCUCUCCACUUCAGCUUACACCCAGGAAGGUCAUGUACAGCAUAGCACCUGAAUCAAAGUAGGUUCAGGUCCAAGAAUGUUGCAUGCUCACUGCAUCAGGUCUGGAAUGGAGAUCCAGGAGAGAGGAAAGUCAUAACUGAGCAUGUCAGUCAGGGUGCUCCAGAGAAACAGAACCAACAGGGUGUGUGUGUGUGUGUGUGUGUGUGUGUGUGUGUGUGUGAGAGAGAGAGAGAGAGACAGAGAGAGAGAGACAGAGAGACACACACAGAGAGAGAUUUAUUUUAAGGAGUUGGCUCAUGAGAUUGGGACGCCUACAGUCAGUUUUUUUUCUGCUAAGGUCUUCACCUGAUUGGAAGAGGCUCACCCACAUUAUAGCGAGUGCUCUUCUUUACUCAAAGUUCACCCAUUUCAGUGUCUAUCUCAUCUAAAAUAGAGCUUCACAGAUACAUCUAGAAUAAUGUUUGACCCAAUACCUGCACCCUAUAGCCCAUCCAAGCUGACACAUGAAAUGAACCAUCACAUUGAGUCAUCCACCAGCAGCGUCCUAGACAGAGGUCGUUUAUUGGUGUUUCCAGAGCUUCCCUAGUUUUCUUUCUUUCAGAGGCUGCCGGAGUCUUCUCCUUAAUACUGUGAGCCCCUCCAGUACCCUGUAAAUAUUCCAAUAAGAACUUGGAGUUGGUUUCUCCUUCUGAAAUGAAAAGAGAAGGGAAAAGAAAAGGAGAAUAACAACAUUCUUAAGGGACAGAGGAACAGUAAAUAAGCCAAACCCAAACUAAGCCAGACCCAGCAUGUUAUUCCCCAAUAUUUGUGCUAAGUGAUGUCAUGUCAAGUUAUACCUUUGCCACAACCUUGCCUGGAAUGCUAAGUGUAGCUUUUCUUUACCCAAAUGCCCUGUGGUUCUUUGUUAAGGCCGUGAAUAGUCAUGUUGUAAGUCUCCAGUGAGCUACUGAAAUUGUAUAUUUUCUUUUAUUUUUUCCAUGGCCAAAAGCAUUUUAUUAACUUGUGUCAGUGAAAAGCUUGUGAAUGGUGCCCCAGAGGGUCCCUCCAAACCUGAAGGAUGGCUUUGGGAUUUGUUCUUAUCUGGAUUAACAGCAAUUGUACUUCCCAAGCUCGGACCUUUUCUAAAAUUGAGCAAGAACAGAGCUGGCUUUUCUGCAAACACACUGAGGACUAGGAUCCGACAGAAGUCAUUAUUUACAACCCUCUCUAGCCUGCAAAGUCACACACAGAUACUUCACCCUGAAUGGAAUAAUUAAUCAAUUAUAGGAAAUCAUUUGUUGAGAAGAAAGAUGGUCUAAAAAAAAAACCAAGUAAUUUCAGCAGGAAAAAAAAAGCUCUAAAUUUUUUUAAGGAAAUUACUUGCCAUCUCUAACCCUAGAAUAGUGAGAGCAAAUAAAGCUGAGAUGGCAAGAGCCCAGAGGUAUCUUCCAGACUCAUGACCAGGCAUAGGCUUGUUAAUAUAGACUCUUAGCAAUUCUUGGGGAACUUCAAGGUUGUGAUACAAAGAAUUUAGCCCAUGUUCAUAUUGAGUCCUAUUAUAGAGCUGAACUCACCAAUAAAUUAACUUAAAUCUAAUAAAAUGGCCAUACUUAAAAACGCUUUCUAUCAUGAGGUGAUCAGGUUGACAUCUUCAGUGAUUAGUCAUAUUAAUAACAUUAUGUUAAUAAUCACAUUAACAUAAUGUGAUAAAAAAAGGUCACUAUGAUCUUCCUUCCAAAAACCUGUAACUCCUGUUUUUAACUAUGAGAAAAACAUCAAACACAAAUUAAGGGACAAUUUACAAAAUAAGAUAGCUAAAAAGAAUCCUUGUCUAUUUUUGUCUGGAAGCCUGGAGGGACGUACAACAGAAUGUUACAAGUGGUCAACUUUACCUGCUGGUAGGAUUGUUGAGAAGUGGUGACUUGCUUUUUCCUUUGGACAUUAAUCUGUUAUUUAGGUUUUCCAAAGUGUAUUUUUUUGUAUUUUUUAAAAAACUUAUUCAUAAAAAUUAAUUCUUUCUUGAAUGUAGUCAAAACGUCCAUAUGGCCAGUAAGAGAAGAUACAACAUGCUCCUUUGGAGGAAAAAAUAACCCAGGCCAACAGCCUCUUCUUUGAGACCUUCUUCACUUCAAAGCCUGUGAAAACAGCCCUUCUGAAAAAUGGUGUCACUAAUGCUAUCAAAACUCUGAGAUUGCCAAAACUACCUCUAGGAGGCACAUAGUACAGCACGAGGGCUGUAAAUGCUAAGACAUAAUAUUGAAUAACUAUUUGAAUCUUCAAGUAAGAUAGGUAUUAUGGCCUCCAAUAUGGAAAUGUAAUUACAGAAUGCAUAAGUAGCUUGCACAAGGUCAAAUAAUGACUCAAUGCAAGAGCUAGACAUAAAAUUUUCCUUACCACUUCCCAUUUCUCUGCUAAAACACAUUUUUUAUAAAUAACUUACAAAGCAUUCGAAAUUCCCUAGAAAAUCAAUAUUCAUGGUUGUGUUACUCUCAACUUUUUUGCAGUUUCUAUUUUCUAACUUUUAAAUAAAGAUAAGAGGAAUAUUUUGCCAAGGUUCAGCCUGGUUAUUUUUUUCUUCAAAUACUGUUAACUAAAGUAUAACCUCAUAUGUGACUAAAAUGGACCUCCAUGCUCUUUAUUAGCUGUUGAAUUACUUUUGAAAAAUGCCUGAAACUGUCACUGAGUGAUAAGUUGAGGCCCAGUGAAAUCCCAAAGAUCCCUCACUUGUGUGUGUGUGUGUGUGUGCACACGCACAUGUGUGUAUAUGUGUGUGUAAAAUAUAUUCUAUCAUUUUUAUUUGAUUUUGAGAUAUGUAUAUCCUCUUCAAGUGUUUUAUGUGUAUGUGUGUAUGUCAAAAAU